AAAUCUUCCAAAUACCACAGUCGGAAUACAAAGGAUUUCAAAAGGUCUUCAGAGCCCGAUUAUUUUGCAUACGACAACCACUCAACUCCAGUAAAUGGUACUGUGUCAGGAAGAUGGCCGCGGAGGGUGUUGCACGGUGAACACUAUUCACGGCAUGAUAUAUACGACAACCAAUCGACAAUCUCAAAAGAAGUAAUCAGACCUGUCUGGAAUGCUCAGUAUCAUUAUCAAGAUACUUAUUCAAAAAUGGGUGCUUAUAAUUAUGUAGACCGUUAUUAAAUGUGAAAAACUGA